rnacentral:rRNA from 1 species
UGUAUGGAAGGGCCAUCGCUCAACGGAUAAAAGGUACUCCGGGGAUAACAGGCUGAUACCGCCCAAGAGUUCAUAUCGACGGCGGUGUUUGGCACCUCGAUGUCGGCUCAUCACAUCCUGGGGCUGAAGCCGGUCCCAAGGGUAUGGCUGUUCGCCAUUUAAAGUGGUACGCGAGCUGGGUUUAGAACGUCGUGAGACAGUUCGGUCCCUAUCUGCCGUGGACGUUUGAGAUUUGAGAGGGGCUGCUCCUAGUACGAGAGGACCGGAGUGGACGAACCUCUGGUGUUCCGGUUGUCACGCCAGUGGCAUUGCCGGGUAGCUAUGUUCGGAAAAGAUAACCGCUGAAAGCAUCUAAGCGGGAAACUUGCCUCAAGAUGAGAUCUCACUGGGAACUUGAUUCCCCUGAAGGGCCGUCGAAGACUACGACGUUGAUAGGCUGGGUGUGUAAGCGUUGUGAGGCGUUGAGCUAACCAGUACUAAUUGCCCGUGAGGCUUGACCAU